AAGGCAAGGGGCACUGAGGACCUAUUCUAACCCGGAUCCCCACGGGAUUGCAAUGUCGACAUAGUUGCAUGUAUAGUGUUCAAAGAAGUCAUUUUUUGCAAUAGUGUCGAGAAUCAUUUAGAUACUGCAUCAAAUUCAUUCAGUGUCAGUUGAAUCAUUGUUUUCUUCUUGACUAUCAUGUUCUCAUCUGUCGUAUUCCUUGUUUCGGGAUCAAGGCUUGGGUUAUAUAAGUUAUGUCAUUGUAUUUCGAACAUCGUAAACUGUGGGAUUAUGGUUGGCUCCUCCUUUAUGAAGAAAAUGUCCGAAGUACUGUUCCAGUGGAUCCAAAUGAAAUUUGUACCUGUACCCAAUAUGAAUUAUAUGCAUUCUGUGGUUGAGUUUAUAGAUGCUUGUCUAAUGACUAAGCUGCUAUAUAUAGAUGUAUGUCUCUGAUGAAAUGAAUUGAUCUAUUUUUAGAAAUCAUUGUCGAGGAGACGCACCGUUGUGCUAAUAUAUGCACGCUUUCCUCCGCGUUUCAAUGAUCAUAGUUAAUAUAAUCUGUACACUGCUCAAGGAAGUUUUUAAUAAAGACUAUUCAAUUGUCAGUUGUGAAAUAGAGAGAAUCGUUCCGAUAAAAUUUAGACAUUCUCUUACACAGGUCAGCGGGAUUCGUUUACAGAGUAAUUCUGGUUAAAAUGGUACAUUGUAUCUGGGUUCUCUCUUCCACCAAUAAAAACUAGGCGCCACCAGAUAACUGAACAAUUGUUGAGUGUGGCGGAAAACAUCAAUCAAGCAAAUUACUCUGUAUAGAUUACUGCGGCUAGAUGAGGAUCCUGCGGUUGGCCUCAGUGCAAAAAACCCGUAUUCCAACAUAAGCGUCGAAGAUCACGUGGAGCAUGGAUCAAAAGGGCCGGGCUCGCGAUAUAUAUCCUGCUGCAAGUCAAUGUUGGGAAUACAGAGAUUCAGUGCGAAUGCGAUUACGUCUCCCAAAAGGAUUGUGGAAAUUAAUAUCGACAAAAAUAAAA